rnacentral:rRNA from 1 species
ACCGGCUAAUUCCGUGCCAGCAGCCGCGGUAAUACGGAAGGUCCGGGCGUUAUCCGGAUUUAUUGGGUUUAAAGGGAGCGUAGGCAGUUUUUUAAGCGUGCUGUGAAAUGUACCGGCUCAACCGGUGAUGUGCAGCGCGAACUGGGAAUCUUGAGUACGCAGUAAGCAGGCGGAAUUCGUGGUGUAGCGGUGAAAUGCUUAGAUAUCACGAAGAACUCCGAUUGCGUAGGCAGCUUGCUGUAGCGUAACUGACGCUGAAGCUCGAAAGUGCGGGUAUCGAACAGGAUUAGAUACCCUGGUAGUCCGCACGGUAAACGAUGGAUGCCCGCUGUCGGCCUUUUUUGGUCGGUGGCCAAGCGAAAGCGUUAAGCAUCCCACCUGGGGAGUACGCCGGCAACGGUGAAACUCAAAGGAAUUGACGGGGGCCCGCACAAGCGGAGGAACAUGUGGUUUAAUUCGAUGAUACGCGAGGAACCUUACCCGGGCUUGAACUGCCAUUGACUUGAAUAGAGAUAUUCAUUCCCUUCGGGGCAUUGGUGGAGGUGCUGCAUGGUUGUCGUCAGCUCGUGCCGUGAGGUGUCGGCUUAAGUGCCAUAACGAGCGCAACCCCUUUUUUCAGUUGCCAUCGGUUAAAGCCGGGCACUCUGUGAAUACUGCCGCCGUAAGGUGUGAGGAAGGUGGGGAUGACGUCAAAUCAGCACGGCCCUUACGUCCGGGGCUACACACGUGUUACAAUGGCGCGUACAGCGAGUCGGCCGUAUGUAAAUGCGGUCCAAUCCUUAAAACGCGCCUCAGUUCGGACUGGGGUCUGCAACCCGACCCCACGAAGCUGGAUUCGCUAGUAAUCGCGCAUCAGCCAUGGCGCGGUGAAUACGUUCCCGGGCCUUAUACACACCGCCCG